ensembl:lncRNA novel transcript
CCUUUACAUACCCGCCAGACACCUCCAGGAAGUGAGCGCCCGCUGCCUUCGUUCUCCCAACUGGAGCAAACUCUGUGGCGGCGACGAUGGCGGCCGUCAGGUCGGUGGUGAUGAAUAGAGAGGAUUUCUCUGCAGCGCGACGCUCCCCUCUCCCGAAAGGUUGGCUCCACGGUCCCGCCGGCCGCGCAGGUCUGGCUGAACUGCUUGGGGUCGCCCGGCUCCUCUCGAUUUUAUGAAAAUGGCCUAAUUGAGGUGUGCUCUUUUCUUUCCUUCCUCUUUUCAUCUUUUCCUUCCGUCUGCAUUUUCUCUCCUCUGUCUUAGGCUUGGUAUCUUCUUUUCUUUUUAUAUUUGUGUUUUUCUCACCGCCUUUGCUUCCUUCCAUUUCAGUUAUCUUGCUUUUUGUGUGUUCUUUCUUGAUUUCUUUCUUUCCUUUUCUUGUUAUUGCUCACUCUCUGGCUCCGCCACCCACCCCUUGCUCUAUCUUCAUUUUCCCUUUAGUACUUUUCUCCCUAUCUUUCAUCUCACUUACACU